rnacentral:rRNA from 1 species
UACGUAGGGUGCGAGCGUUAAUCGGAGUUACUGGGCGUAAAGCGUGCGCAGGCGGUGAUGUAAGACAGUUGUGAAAUCCCCGGGCUCAACCUGGGAACUGCAUCUGUGACUGCAUUGCUGGAGUGCGGCAGAGGGGGAUGGAAUUCCGCGUGUAGCAGUGAAAUGCGUAGAUAUGCGGAGGAACACCGAUGGCGAAGGCAAUCCCCUGGGCCUGCACUGACGCUCAUGCACGAAAGCGUGGGGAGCAAACAGG